GCCCUAGGUGGCUCAGGUGGGUAGAGCGUCUGCCACACAAGCAGGAGAUCCCGGGUUCGAGUCCCGGCCGGGGCA